rnacentral:rRNA from 1 species
UGUGGUCGAUGACUGGGGGGAAGUCGUAACAAGGUAGCUGUAGGUGAACCUGCAGAAGGAUCA